UCCCCAUCCCCCGAUUCCUCUCCCUCUCUCCCUCGUCCGCCGCCACCACCACUCAACGGCCCGCGCCCUCCCUCAUAGCCGCCGCCGCCAGCGCCCUCCCCCACAUCCUGCGCCCCACCCCUUCUCUCCUCCCCUCCCCUUAUCGUCAUCACCGACGACCUCAUCGCCUUCCCCUCGCUCCAGAUCGAGCAGCAGGUCCGGAUCCACGACGAAGGCGGCGCGAGCGCCCCGGUGUGCAGGUUCAAGCCGCGUGAAGAGGGUGCUCGUUGCGGCUCUAACCCUGAUGCCAACGCCAUGAAGAAGGAGAACAUCUCUCCUGUUCGUGAAGCAUCCCCAACCCUAGCCCUUCUUUGCCCAUGACGACCGAGCAGACAGGAGGUACUAAUCCCUCCACUUAUCUGGUUUUCUUCACCCUUAUGUGAUGCGUGCCGUCUACUUUUGUGCAUGUUUCAUGGAGAGGAGAAGCUGCUUCAAUCCCAUCUGCUCAAGGAGGAUGCCCACCAUCCAAGGUGCUCAACAUCAUCACCAUUUGUUGCCUGCCAAGGCUUGAUAGGUUGGAAAAUGUCUUCAAGAUUUGUCAGUCAGUGAGUUUCUUGACUAAAUAUGCAGUAGAAACAAGACCUGAUAGAGCUGAGUUCACUGAAUAUGAGGUAGAUGAUAACAUGGUCGGCCACCAGGGAGCUAGCUUAGUUGAGAUGCGAUGCGCGGAAAUCAAAAAUGGAAAGAAGCCCCAGGGGCAGUACGGGGGAAGCAUCCGUAAGAUCACUGAAUGCAAUGGGACACGUGUGAACCAAACUGAAUUAAGAUCAUCAGUGCCAACACAUACAGAGAGAAGCAAGUGGCAACCGCCAGCUGAAGGCAUUUGGAAAUUAAACACUGACACAUCCUUCCUGUCCAAUACGAGAGAUUCUGCGGCAGGUUUUAUUGCCAGAACAAAUGAGGGUGUGGUUGUUUUGGCAGGUGGCCAACGCUUGCAAGCUUGUGAGGACCCGGAGGAAGCUGAAUUUGCUGCUGUUGCACAUGGACUUGCAGUGUUAAGCAAGUACUACAGAGGUCCAGUGUGUGUGGAGUCGGACUGUGCAUCAAUUGUCACAUUGCUGAAUAACAGAGCAUGCAACCGAUCGGCCCGGUUUGCCCGAGUAGCGGACAUCUGGCACUUCGAGAAUGUGUUCAAAGAAGUGUCCUUCAGAGAUGUGAGAAGAUCCAGCUACAAAAUGGCGCAUGAGCUUGCGGCUCAAGCAAGGAGACAGGGAGACUAUCUUAUAAUCGGAGACGUUCCACUUUCUUUAAGAAGGAUCCUCAUGGAGGAUUGUAAUAGCUCUCCCAAUGUUAUCUAAGUGUAGCUGGGUUGGUCCUAAAAAAAGAUGAUAAGAGGAUACAGUACCACAACGAAUACAUGUUAGAUGCUAUAAGGUGAUUUAAUUUCUCUGUGCAUAUACUAGAAGUGAAUCACCAACACUGAGCAUCAUCAAUGUGUGCCACUGUAAUCGCUGACCAGAUUGGUACUUAAGUGCUCGAUAUGCAGCCUGAACUACUGCAGGAAAUAAGGCUGCAACAUCUGCGGGUACUUUUUAGAAUGGAGUUGUUUUAAAUACUAGACUACCUACAGGACUGAGCGCUCCAGGUGUGGAGGAUGGUUCUUCCGAUUAAUCGUCGUGUUGAGGCAAGUGCACGACGGACCUUUCUCCGUAUACGUUACUGUGUUGUUGACGUAGGUAUAUGAAAAUGAGUUGAGUAGUCUGAUUAGAAGAUGAGGGAGGACGUCGAGAUUUUGAUCCAGCAGCCUUGCCCCCUUCUCGUUCAGCGUGCCACCUGCAGGAGGUUACGUUCAAGAUCUUCAGAAUUUUUAGAUGAUUCCUUAUUCUAAAGACCUUAGCUUUGUGGACUAUACAUACAAGAACUUGGAAGCUGUGAAAGGUUAUUCAGAAAUACUAUGAAGUUCGCUACAGAGAAUGUGAAUGUCCUUCAAACGUGAGUUUUGAAGAGAAAUGUUCAGUCUUCCAGAUGAUCCUGUUAACACUUGGAGUUUCAACUCGGAUGGCGAAACCUCAACUUCCGAUUCCAAUAAUUUCAUGGUUUCUAGCUUUAUACACAUUAACUGAUCUUCUUAUGUGGGCAUCUCUAAAAGAGGAGAAUGAGUCGCUUAUAAAGCCAAAGUAUCUAAGCUGCAAACCAAUCUAAGAAAGUUAAGACAAGCUUAUCCCUAGCAGAGGGAAAUUGUAUGCUGCACCUGCUCUCACAUGGGCACACACACAUAUUAGGAGUGUAUACUCAAGCCUAAAGCAUCCUGUCACUCUGUGCUAUCUUUGGGUAAUAAUUUAUAUAGAUUGUCCCUGGGUGCAUUGUUGUACUAUCGGCUAUUGUAGGGCUGUCGCUCCUCUCUGGUCAGUGAGAUGGCCCAUGAUUUCUAUUUACAUAUGGUUCUUAGGUAUGUAGGAGCAAAGGUCUCAAAUCAUUUUGCUUGUUAUGAUUGGCACUAAAAGACCUCUAAUUAUGUUUCGGCUUC